UCUUUGCGUGAUGCCUGCAACGCGGCCUGCGGCUCUGCCGCCAUUAUGACCGAGACCCAGAACCAGACCUCGUUUUCGUUCUCGUUUCAUCCUCUUCGAGCUCAUCCCAGCUGCUGGAAUACUAGAAUAGCGCCGCCUCAAGAUCUUCUACCUGCUGCCGUUUCGUGCGCGACUUUGGUUUAGGCAGCUGUUCGUCGCACCGCGCUGGAUCACUGCUCGCUGUUCAUUCACCAGUGAUUCGUCAGGAGUACUACACCUUUCUUUGUUCGGCACGGGAGGGAGGAAGAAAGCCGACUGAACCUUUCCUAUCUCUCAGCACCCUCUCAAACCAACCGACCCCGUCCCAAUCUCCUGGCGGCGGCGCAGCGGCUGCGGUAACCGGGCGAGGAGACUAGCGGCGGCGAGCGGCCGGUAGCGCCGCGACGACGAGGUCAACACCCCGGGCGACCGCCUCCCCACCACCGGGAGAAGGAGAUGAAUGGGAAAGAGAUCCCCUUUUCCUCGCCCCUCGCCGGUGCUGGCCACUAUCACGCAUCCCGCCUCCGCAACAUGGAGGCUGACCUGCUGAUGCUCUCUCCUCCAGUGCAGGGGACGACGGGCUGCCGCUGCACACCAGUGAGUAGGGGUGGGGACGACGGGCUGCCGCUGCACACCAGAUCGAUACAAAAAUUGUCAGGUGAUAUCAUUCUAUACAUAUGUGCAUCUAUGGUGAUCAUUUGUUCUUCCGUUGUGUUCUUCUCAUUCAGAACUCUUAACUUUAAUUUUUUGGUUGGUUCUCUAGACAUGAGUGCAGAUCUGCGGAGGUUUAGAAGAGGAAGAAGCUAUGGUAGAAAAUUUAUUAAGAAGCUGCCAAAGGUUUCCUACCAGCCUCUUGCUUUUCAUGAUAAACCAGAGUAAAUAUCUUUCUUGAAUCAUGUUGUGGUGUAUCCACUCCCAUCAGUUUGUCUAAAUGUACCCAUUGUUAGUCUUUUGUAGUUCACAUGUCCAGUUUUCAUUCUAUAUUGCAGUUGAAAAAACCCAUCUGAUCGUGUGAUCAUUUGCUAUAUCAGCAAUCUAGAUGAGCCCAAAAUCAACCCUAUGCAGAGGCACAUGAUAUAUUUACUUAAUCUACAUGUUUAUUCACUAAGAGUUGUUUGAACAUUGUGUGACUAGAUUUGUUCACUGCACAUUCUUUAUUUGGAAACUCUGCAUUAACCUACUCUUACAACCUGAGCUGUACGAACCUCCACAGUGGGUAUUACUAGAAUUGGCCAUGAGGCAUUCUCUUGACAAGGAUAAGACACUUAAUUUCUUUUGACUGCAUUUUUGAAUUGUGUGCAUGUCAAUCAGGUGAUAAUCAUGCCUUUUAUUUGUUUGUAGCGAGAAUUUUUCACCAGUUUGAUUGUUUUUUGCAUCCACUCGGUUAAGAUCUCGUUUAAUUUUUUUUCCCAGAGUUCUUGAGGGACACACAGCUGGCCUAGAAGAUGGACCUUCAUGUAUGCCCCAUCUAAACCGCAUCUCUAAUUUAUAGUACCACACAACAGCUUUAAGCAAACAACCCUCGUGAGCUAGCCAAUCUUCAGAUGUAUUACCUAUCUAAUGCUUUGUAUAAAAUCUUGAGAUAUUAAAGUGAGUUAACUACUACUUCCUUAAUAACAAAUACAGUUGACUGUUCACAGUUCUGAUUUAUGCUCCAACUUAUGUUGGAAGGCACUCAAAUAUUAGGAGCCAAAAUGGAGCAAUUAUCUUGGACAUACUAGAAAUUCUUGGAGUCCAGCUGUUAUAUUGAAAGGUUGAUAUCCCAUCAAGAUCUGCUUUCUGCUUCUGCCCCUGAUGUUUCUCGGGGUGCUGUUGUUGCACUACUUAAUUUUUCCAUGGAAUCUUACUAUGCAUUGGGUGUUAAAUUGAGAUUUCCUCUUCGUGGGUUAAUAUCUUUUUCCUGAAGUUCAGUUAUGUACUUGGGCAGAUCUGCCACAUAAUACCUACUCUACAGUAGCACAAAAGUGUUGGAGAGUUGGUUCUUGCUAUUCAGUACCAUGUUUUAACACACCACUUUUUCCAUGGGGGCUACUAUGCAUUGGGUGUUGAAUUCCAUGCAGCCAAAGGUCUGUUCAUCAAUCUCAUGGCAUGAGCUCUUUAAUUGCUUCUUCGUAUCUGCCAUUGGAGUAACAUAGGUCAACAUACAUACAUAGCAUGUUCCGUACAGUUUUAUGUGGAGCCUUUCUCAUGUUCUCUAUCUUGUUUUAUAUAUAAUACAUUCUCUGUGUUUUACUGCAUGAGGAUCUCUUCAUGUUGUUCCUUUUGGUUGCUCUACACAGUUAUAUGUUAUUGAACACAACAGUUCUGGCAUCUACGUUGGAUUUAUGUGAAUUAUGUGUAGUCUAACUCACUUCAGCUAUAUAAAAGCUUUGUUUGUA